UUAAUUGAAGCCAAAAUAGAGGCUUAUCACUGUUAAUGAUAGAACUGAGUAAAUACUCCAAUUAAA
rnacentral:tRNA from 1 species